GACGAACGCUGGCGGCGUGCUUAACACAUGCAAGUCGAACGGAAAGGCCCUGCUUUUGUGGGGUGCUCGAGUGGCGAACGGGUGAGUAACACGUGAGUAACCUGCCCUUGACUUUGGGAUAACUUCAGGAAACUGGGGCUAAUACCGGAUAGGAGCUCCUGCUGCAUGGUGGGGGUUGGAAAGUUUCGGCGGUUGGGGAUGGACUCGCGGCUUAUCAGCUUGUUGGUGGGGUAGUGGCUUACCAAGGCUUUGACGGGUAGCCGGCCUGAGAAGGUGACCGGCCACAUUGGGACUGAGAUACGGCCCAGACUCCUACGGGAGGCAGCAGUGGGGAAUAUUGCACAAUGGGCGGAAGCCUGAUGCAGCAACGCCGCGUGCGGGAUGACGGCCUUCGGGUUGUAAACCGCUUUCGCCUGUGACGAAGCGUGAGUGACGGUAAUGGGUAAAGAAGCACCGGCUAACUACGUGC
rnacentral:rRNA from 1 species